rnacentral:rRNA from 1 species
CCUACGGGUGACAGCAGUGAGGAAUAUUGGUCAAUGGGCGGAAGCCUGAACCAGCCAAGUAGCGUGCAGGAUGACGGCCCUACGGGUUGUAAACUGCUUUUAUACGGGAAUAACGCGCCUUACGUGUAGGGCUUUGCCUGUGCCGUCUGCAUAAGGACCGGCUAAUUCCGGGCCAGCAGCCGCGGUAAUACGGGAGGUCCGGGCGUUAUCCGGAUUUAUGGGGUUUAAAGGGAGCGUAGGCGGCAUGUCAAGCGUGCUGUGAAAUGUCCGGGCUCAACCCGGGCCUUGCAGCGCGAACUGGCGUGCUUGAGUCCGCGGAAAGCAGGCGGAAUUCGUCGUGUAGCGGUGAAAUGCUUAGAUAUGACGAAGAACCCCGAUUGCGAAGGCAGCUUGCUGCAGCGGAACUGACGCUGAUGCUCGAAAGCGCGGGUAUCGAACAGGAUUAGAUACCCCAGUAGUC